rnacentral:miRNA from 1 species
UGUGUCUUCCUCUGGAAGCUGGUUUCACAUGGUGGCUUAGAUUUUUCCAUCUCUGUA